GUGACAAUUCACCAGCUUCAAAUUUCCCAUUUGCAGAAACCAGGGUUUGGGAUGAACAGAGUCACAGACUAAGUAUGCAGGAAAGUUGUGUAAGUCCCUUUUUUUAUUGGAGAGGCAUGGGAUUGUGCAAUUAUACAUGUGAAUCAGUGAUCUCAGUGGCUCAACAGCUAUGAACAGAAUAGAUUAACAAAUGACUUGAACAGCAAGGCAGGUCUUGGGGCCGGAACGAAUAACGUUACUCAUGAUUACAUCUAGUUGCAAACAAGGUUUAUUACGGUACAAGGAAAUGAUGACAAUCCUUACAUUGGCCCAAAAAAAGGUAAUGUCAGACCAUCUUACUUUAUGCUUCUAAACUUGUCGGUCAAAGCUUAGCCCUCUAUAAAAUUUUAUUUUAGUCGCAUUGGAUUUUGCACAUUAGUUUGUUUGUUGUUGAUAGAAUGAUAGUAUUAGAUUAAA